rnacentral:lncRNA from 1 species
AGUGUCAGACAUGUGGGAAUGCAUUUAAUAAAUUGUCUGUGUUCUCAGUUGCUGCCCAACUGUCCAGAAAAAAUUUAGUAGAAAUGACUGGAAUACCAGCAAGAAACAAAGAGCCGGAGGAAACCGUUGUCUCAGCAUCAAACUCCCUGGAUUGCAAUGAUAGCUUUAUAUCUAGUCCAUUCCGGGCCGUGAAUCACAUUAUGACAAUACCUCGAAUCAUCCUAACUCACCCUUCCACUUCAGAUGAGGACACUGACCUAUUGUCUCAAGAUCCAGAUGACUUCAGGAUGGAAGACAUCACUGUUGAUGGUGUCCCCCUCCAUUCAGACUGUCUGACUAAUGCUUCUUAUCCUCCCUAAUAAAAUGAUCCCACUGAAGAGCUUGUUUUUCAUAGUUUAACUUUGGCUAACAUUAAACCACAAUGCCUU